rnacentral:rRNA from 1 species
GAUGAACGCUAGCGGCAGGCCUAAUACAUGCAAGUCGAGCGGUAGGUGGCUUCGGCCAUUGAGAGCGGCGCACGGGUGAGUAACGCGUACAUGACCUGCCUGUCAGAAGGGGAUAGCCCUGGGAAACUGGGAUUAAUACCCUAUGGUAUUGAUAUUAUGAAUGAUAUCAAUUAAAGUUGAGGCGCUGACAGAUGGAUGUGCGUCUGAUUAGCUAGUUGGUAGGGUAACGGCCUACCAAGGCGACGAUCAGUAGGGGGCGUGAGAGCGUGGUCCCCCACACGGGUACUGAGACACGGACCCGACUCCUACGGGAGGCAGCAGUAAGGAAUAUUGGUCAAUGCCCGCAAGGGUGAACCAGCCAUUCCGCGUGGAGGAUGAAGGCCCUAUGGGUUGUAAACUUCUUUUUUCAGGGAAGAAUGAUUGGGAUGCGUCCCAAAGUGACGGUACUUGAAGAAUAAGCACCGGCUAACUACGUGCCAGCAGCCGCGGUAA